AAUUAAAAUUUGAAUUUAAAUAUCUAUAACAAUUUUUUUGAAAACUGUUUAGCAUUCCUUUUCUUCACAAAACGAAACCGAAAGAACUAGCCUCGUUUCAAUCUUCCAUAGUUCUCCAUUCUCCAACCUCACCAGUUUUUUGGAAAAAAUGAAGAAAAGAUCGGACGGGGCGAGCGUCGUUUCCCCGUCCCGGAGAAAACGAUCGUCGUGGUCGAAACCGAGGAACGGUCGACAGGUUGGUUAUGACUAAAUCGUUAGAGUAAUUCUAGGGAUGCUUACGUCUUACGAAUGGUAUGAUACAGUAUACGACUUAAGGAGUUACUCGCUUCUUCGACAGAGGUACACCUUUCCAGAGUAAGGGGUAAGUCGCCGACAGAUCUUCCCUUUCGCGAAACCAAUUUCUUCUUUUUUUCCCUUUAACUUCGUUUCUUUGCUCCUUUCUCUCUAUUUUAUUCACAUUGUUCAUCUUAUUCGUUUGUUGUUUCAAGAUUGGUACACAGGAUUCGAUUGGAGACCUACCCCUAUGUUUUGUAUAUAGACAGAGCGACCGCAUCUCUCGACUGAUCGGUGAGAAUCGACGUAAUGAACGCGGUUCAGGAUUUCGUACGUUCGGUUUUGAUAUGACUCAACGUUGUACUUUAUCAACCUCGAUAAUUGCGACUCGAGCUUCCGUUGGAUUGAUGGAUGCGCUACAUUCACCCGGGAUUUGUCGUUGGUUUAUUGGUUCCUCUAGUGAUGUUCGGUUCGUGGCAAGGGAGUGCAUGUUGUGCCGAUUCUGGAAUCAGUUCUGAGAUCGACAUCGAUUAUGUGUUAUUUUUGAAAUUAUAAUA